UCUGUGGGGACCCAGGAUAACUAAAAAUUGGAAUGAUACAGAGUAGAUUAGCUAUGGCCCCUGCGCAAGGAUGACACGCAAAUUCAUGAAGCGUUCCAUAUUUAA
ensembl:snRNA U6 U6 spliceosomal RNA